rnacentral:piRNA from 1 species
UGUGACUCUCUAGCCAUGACACCUUUGUCUGU